rnacentral:snRNA from 1 species
GUGAUGGCACGUAGCUGGACAUUGAUCGCUAGAUCGUAAUUAGUGUUUGCAGAUCUGCUCAGUGGCAUCCGUCACGCCAUUAAUCUACUCCCAGUAAUAAAACAUACUGGCGGACGUGUAAGAGUGAAAUUCAGUUGAUGGUCUUCUGAUGCACGGCAGCGGAUCGGACGCACAGUUAUGU